ACCCGCACAAGCGGUGGAUGAUGUGGUUUAAUUCGAUGCAACGCGAAAACCUUACCCACCUUUGACAUGGCAGGAAUCCUAAAGAGAUUUGGGAGUGCUCGAAAGAGAACCUGCACACAGGUGCUGCAUGGCUGUCGUCAGCUCGUGUCGUGAGAUGUUGGGUUAAGUCCCGCAACGAGCGCAACCCUUGCCAUUAGUUGCUACGAAAGGGCACUCUAAUGGGACUGCCGGUGACAAACCGGAGGAAGGUGGGGAUGACGUCAAGUCCUCAUGGCCCUUAUGGGUAGGGCUUCACACGUCAUACAAUGGUCGGGACAGAGGGUCGCCAACCCGCGAGGGGGGAGCCAAUCCCAGAAACCCGAUCGUAGUCCGGAUUGCAGGCUGCAACUCGCCUGCAUGAAGUCGGAAUCGCUAGUAAUCGCGGAUCAGCAUGUCGCGGUGAAUACGUUCCCGGGUCUU
rnacentral:rRNA from 1 species